rnacentral:rRNA from 1 species
AUGGUACUACCUCAAAACGAAUCCAGAGGGGCCACUGCCACUCAGAAGCCCACCGCCGAGGAGGACCCGGAGGAGAGAGCCAUGAAGAAGAGGUUCGAGGAGUGGAUGGUGGUGCACAAACGCAGAUACAAGAACGAGGAGAAGGCACGGCGCUACGAGCUGUUCAAGGGGUGUGUCAAGCGGGUGAACGAGCUCAAUGCCGCGUCACGGCCGGGUGAAGCCCGGUACAAGCCAUACCGAUAUGCUGACUUUACCAAGGAAGAGAGGAGCAAAGUACACGGAAUCGUGGUCGAACCAUCUAUGUUCGACGAGUGGAACGAGGAGAAGAGGCGCAAAACACAAGGGGGUCAUGACGGCGGCGCCGACGAGGACGACUGGGAAGAACAGAUGCGCCUGAUACAAAGGGGUCUUCGCACUGCGGCCCUUAAUGGCAAGGCACAACGCAAAGCACAGCAGUCGUCCUGA